rnacentral:rRNA from 1 species
AUUGAACGCUGGCGGCAGGCUUAACACAUGCAAGUCGAGCGGGGAAGGGUAGCUUGCUACCUGACCUAGCGGCGGACGGGUGAGUAAUGCUUAGGAAUCUGCCUAUUAGUGGGGGACAACAUUCCGAAAGGAAUGCUAAUACCGCAUACGCCCUACGGGGGAAAGCAGGGGAUCUUCGGACCUUGCGCUAAUAGAUGAGCCUAAGUCAGAUUAGCUAGUUGGUGGGGUAAAGGCCUACCAAGGCGACGAUCUGUAGCGGGUCUGAGAGGAUGAUCCGCCACACUGGGACUGAGACACGGCCCAGACUCCUACGGGAGGCAGCAGUGGGGAAUAUUGGACAAUGGGCGAAAGCCUGAUCCAGCCAUGCCGCGUGUGUGAAGAAGGCCUUUUGGUUGUAAAGCACUUUAAGCGAGGAGGAGGCUACUUAGAUUAAUACUCUAGGAUAGUGGACGUUACUCGCAGAAUAAGCACCGGCUAACUCUGUGCCAGCCGCCGCGGUAACAC